rfam:Salmo salar isolate Sally breed double haploid chromosome ssa18, whole genome shotgun sequence.
UGGCCUUGCUCAUGUAAGUCGCUUUGGAUAAGAGCGUCUGCUAAAUGACUAAAA